rnacentral:rRNA from 1 species
GACGAACGCUGGCGGCGUGCUUAACACAUGCAAGUCGAACGAUGAACCCGGAGCUUGCUCCGGUGGAUUAGUGGCGAACGGGUGAGUAACACGUGAGUAACCUGCCCUUGACUCUGGGAUAACUGCGGGAAACUGUAGCUAAUACCGGAUACGACCCUCGGCGGCAUCGCCAGGGGGUGGAAAGAAUUUCGGUCAAGGAUGGACUCGCGGCCUAUCAGCUAGUUGGUGAGGUAACGGCCCACCAAGGCGACGACGGGUAGCAGGCCUGAGAGGGUGACCGUGCACACUGGGACUGAGACACCGCGCAGUCUCCUACGAGAGGCAGCAGUGUGGAAUAUUGCACAAUGGGCGCAAGCCGGAUGCAGCAAAGCCGCGUGAGGUAUGACGGCCUUCGGGUUGUAAACCUCUUUUAGUAGGGAAGAAGCGAAAGAGACGGUACCUGCAGAAAAAGCACCGGCUAACUACGUGCCAGCCGCCGCCGUAA